CCUACGGGAGGCAGCAGUGGGGAAUAUUGGACAAUGGGCGAAAGCCUGAUCCAGCCAUGCCGCGUGUGUGAAGAAGGUCUUCGGAUUGUAAAGCCCUUUUGUUGGGAAAGAAAUCCAGCUGGCUAAUACCCGGUUGGGAUGACGGUACCCAAAGAAUAAGCACCGGCUAACUUCGUGCCAGCAGCCGCGGUAAUACGAAGGGGGCUAGCGUUGCUCGGAAUUACUGGGCGUAAAGGGCGCGUAGGCGGAUCGUUAAGUCAGAGGUGAAAUCCCAGGGCUCAACCCUGGAACUGCCUUUGAUACUGGCGAUCUUGAGUAUGAGAGAGGUAUGUGGAACUCCGAGUGUAGAGGUGAAAUUCGUAGAUAUUCGGAAGAACACCAGUGGCGAAGGCGACAUACUGGCUCAUUACUGACGCUGAGGCGCGAAAGCGUGGGGAGCAAACAGGAUUAGAUACCCUGGUAGUCCACGCCGUAAACGAUGAUUGCUAGUUGUCGGGCUGCAUGCAGUUCGGUGACGCAGCUAACGCAUUAAGCAAUCCGCCUGGGGAGUACGGUCGCAAGAUUAAAACUCAAAUGAAUUGACGGGG
rnacentral:rRNA from 1 species